UGCCAGCCGCCGCGGUAAUACGGAGGGUGCAAGCGUUAAUCGGAAUUACUGGGCGUAAAGCGCGCGUAGGCGGUUGUUUAAGUCGGAUGUGAAAGCCCUGGGCUCAACCUGGGAACUGCAUUCGAUACUGGGCAACUAGAGUAUGAAAGAGGGAGGUAGAAUUCCAUGUGUAGCGGUGAAAUGCGUAGAUAUAUGGAGGAAUACCAGUGGCGAAGGCGGCCUCCUGGUUCAAUACUGACGCUGAGGUGCGAAAGCGUGGGGAUCAAACAGGAUUAGAUA
rnacentral:rRNA from 1 species